ACGCACGCUGGCGGCGUGCUUCACACAUUCAAGUCGAACGGAAAGGCCCUGCUUUUGUGGGGUGCUCGAGUGGCGAACGGGUGAGUAACACGUGAGUAACCUGCCCUUGACUUUGGGAUAACUUCAGGAAACUGGGGCUAAUACCGGAUAGGAGCUCCUGCUGCAUGGUGGGGGUUGGAAAGUUUCGGCGGUUGGGGAUGGACUCGCGGCUUAUCAGCUUGUUGGUGGGGUAGUGGCUUACCAAGGCUUUGACGGGUAGCCGGCCUGAGAGGGUGACCGGCCACAUUGGGACUGAGAUACGGCCCAGACUCCUACGGGAGGCAGCAGUGGGGAAUAUUGCACAAUGGGCGGAAGCCUGAUGCAGCAACGCCGCGUGCGGGAUGACGGCCUUCGGGUUGUAAACCGCUUUCGCCUGUGACGAAGCGUGAGUGACGGUAAUGGGUAAAGAAGCACCGGCUAACUACGUG
rnacentral:rRNA from 1 species